rnacentral:rRNA from 1 species
GAUGAACGCUAGCGAUAGGCCUAACACAUGCAAGUCGAGGGGCAUCACAUGAAGUAGCAAUACGGAUGGUGGCGACCGGCGCACGGGUGAGUAACACGUAUGCAACCUGCCUUCAACAAGGGGAUAACCCGUUGAAAGACGGACUAAUACCCUAUAACACAGGGGUCCCGCAUGGGAAUAUUUGUUAAAGGACAACCGGUUGAAGAUGGGCAUGCGUUCCAUUAGCUAGUUGGCGGGGUAACGGCCCACCAAGGCAACGAUGGAUAGGGGAACUGAGAGGUUUAUCCCCCACACUGGUACUGAGACACGGACCAGACUCCUACGGGAGGCAGCAGUGAGGAAUAUUGGUCAAUGGACGCAAGUCUGAACCAGCCACGUCGCGUGAAGGAAGACGGCCCUACGGGUUGUAAACUUCUUUUAUACGGGAAUAAAGUGCCCCACGCGUGGGGUUUUGCAUGUACCGUAUGAAUAAGGAUCGGCUAACUCCGUGCCAGCAG